rnacentral:rRNA from 1 species
UGCGUACCUUUUGUAUAAUGGGUCAGCGACUUAUAUUCUGUAGCAAGGUUAACCGGAUAGGGGAGCCGCAGGGAAACCGAGUCUUAACUGGGCGAAUUAGUUGCAGGGUAUAGACCCGAAACCCGGUGAUCUAGCCAUGGGCAGGUUGAAGGUUGGGUAACACUAACUGGAGGACCGAACCGACUAAUGUUGAAAAAUUAGCGGAUGACUUGUGGCUGGGGGUGAAAGGCCAAUCAAACCGGGAGAUAGCUGGUUCUCCCCGAAAGCUAUUUAGGUAGCGCCUCGUGAACUCAUCUCCGGGGGUAGAGCACUGUUUCGGCUAGGGGGUCAUCCCGACUUACCAACCCGAUGCAAACUGCGAAUACCGGAGAAUGUUAUCACGGGAGACACACGGCGGGUGCUAACGUUCGUCGUGAAGAGGGAAACAACCCAGACCGCCGGCUAAGGUCCCAAAGUCAUAAUUAAGUGGGAAACGAAGUGGGAAGGCUCAGACAGCCAGGAUGUUGGCUUAGAAGCAGCCAUCAUUUAAAGAAAGCGUAAUAGCUCACUGGUCGAGUCGGCCUGCGCGGAAGAUGUAACGGGGCUAAAUUAUGCACCGAAGCCGCGGCAGCGAUAUGUAAAUAUUGUUGGGUAGGGGAGCG